UGUCUAUGAUAACCUCUGGGAAGACUAUGAAGACCCUGACAACAGAAUAUCUACGCAUCAAAAUCCAAAAAGCCCCAUAAGCGAAGCAUUUUCAAAAUUUCAGACUAUAUGAGCACAAGCAUUGCAGGUGAUCCGGAACGAUGUGUCAAAACCUGUUAGCGACGUCUACAUUAAACUCCUGAAAACAAUGGUCGUAUUGUAGGGUCCUCACGGAACAACCUUGAUAUAACAAACAAGUAAGGCAGACUGUGCUGCCCUUCAAUAGAAUACCAAGUAUCCUUACAUACAUGCAUCUAUCUUAGAUUAGUUUAUGUAGAAAGUAUAUUCAUUUUGGACAAAGUACCUGUCGAUUGAUCUAUCAAUAAAGUUAGCAGCAUGUGCUGCCCUUCAAGAACAAAUUCCCUGGUUGAUCCUGCUGAAAUGGCCAGAAUAAGUUACUUUCAAAAUACGAGGACCUGUAAAUAAUCUUGAAUGUAACAUAGAUCUAUCAAUUAAAAGGCAAAAGAAUACCUAAGUUACAAGACUAAUCAAUUAACAAUAUACCACAGGCAAUAUGAUUCUCUUAAACAUAAAGUUGGGAUGAGAGAUUUGAAAGUGUCAAGGGCUUAGGGCUAAAUUAGUUGGAGGGAUAUGAAAGACUAGAUGCAAUGCAUUAAGAGGGAUUUGUAAUGACUGCUUGAAAGGAGACAUUUAUAAAUACUUUGUUUAUGUGUGUAAUGAUCAUGUAGUGCAUUUUAAAUGUCUAUAUCCUUCAUCCAAACAUAGGGUGAGAGAACUAGGAGUUUUAGCAUACACAACUCACUGACAUAGGACAAUACAAAUUAAGGCAAAACAAACAGAUGUCAAAAUCCAAAAUGCCUUACUUCUUUGAGUCAUUAUGUGUGCAUUAUGCCCUUAUCAGACCCCUUGCUUUUUUGUUUAUGAAAACUCUGGGAAGACUAUGAAGAUCGUGAGGAAAGAAUAUCUCCGCAUAGAAAUCCAAAAAGCCCCAUAAGCGAAGCAUUUCCAAAUUUCUGAGUAUACGAGCACAAGCAUUGCAGGUGAUCCUGAACCAUGUGGCAAAACCUGUUUGCGAUGUCUACAUUAAACUCCUCAAAACAACGCCCGUAUUGUAGGAUUCUCACAGAACAACUUGAAAUAACCAAGAAGUAUGGCAGACUUCCAUAACGAGUGGAGAUAUAGAGCUCAUGGUUCAGAUUGAUGCCUUGCAUUGGUCCUUCGGAAACCCUGAAAUAAAAUUAGAAAAGGAAUCUUGUGACUUAUUGCUCUUUUCUUAAUUUAUUCAUAUUUGUCCAGCCAAUCAAAGUGGUAACAAGUUAGAAACCUUGAUUCUAAGUUCCAAAUGUAGAAUAUCAAAGUACCUUGAUUCUAAGCGAAGCAUUUUCAAAAUUUCAGACUAUAUGAGCACAAGCAUUGCAGGUAAUCCGGAACGAUGUGUCAAAACCUGUUAGCGACGUCUACAUUAAACUCCUGAAAACAAUGGUCGUAUUGUAGGGUCCUCACAGAACAACCUUGAUAUAACAAACAAGUAAGACAGAUUGUGCUGCCCUU
rnacentral:lncRNA from 1 species